rfam:Asian citrus Psyllid, Diaphorina citri - Florida Strain, whole genome shotgun sequence.
CCCAUGGCGUAGUGGUCACUGCGCUCGCCUUGCACGCGGGAGACCCGGGUUCGAUUCCUGGCGGG